rnacentral:rRNA from 1 species
CCUACGGGUGGCAGCAGUGAGGAAUAUUGGUCAAUGGGCGCGAGCCUGAUCCAGCCAAGUAGCGUGAAGGAUGACUGCCCUACGGUUUGUAAACUUCUUUUAUAAAGGAAUAAAGUGAGGCACGUGUGCCUUUUUGUAUGUACUUUAUCAAUACAGAACGGCUAACUCCGUGACAGCAGCCGCGGUAAUACGGAGUGUCCGAGCGUUAUCCGGAGUAUUGGGUUUAAAGGGAGCGUAGAUGGGUUGUUAAGUUAGUUGUGAAAGUUUGCGGCUCAACCGUAAAAUUGCAAUUGAUACUGGGAGCAUUGAGGACAGUUGAGGGAGGCGGAAUUCGUGGUGUAGCGGUGGAAUGCUUAGA